rnacentral:rRNA from 1 species
ACGAACGCUGGCGGCGUGCUUAACACAUGCAAGUCGAACGGAAAGGCCCUGCUUUUGUGGGGUGCUCGAGUGGCGAACGGGUGAGUAACACGUGAGUAACCUGCCCUUGACUUUGGGAUAACUUCAGGAAACUGGGGCUAAUACCGGAUAGGAGCUCCUGCUGCAUGGUGGGGGUUGGAAAGUUUCGGCGGUUGGGGAUGGACUCGCGCCUUAUCAGCUUGUUGGUGGGGUAGUGGCUUACCAAGGCUUUGACGGGUAGCCGGCCUGAGAGGGUGACCGGCCACAUUGGGACUGAGAUACGGCCCAGACUCCUACGGGAGGCAGCAGUGGGGAAUAUUGCACAAUGGGCGGAAGCCUGAUGCAGCAACGCCGCGUGCGGGAUGACGGCCUUCGGGUUGUAAACCGCUUUCGCCUGUGACGAAGCGUGAGUGACGGUAAUGGGUAAAGAAGCACCGGCUAACUACGUG